GAGCUGCCGCCGCCGCCGCGCCAGCAGGUCCUAAUGCCUGUCACUUCCCAGGACGUUGGCAGCGGCAGCCCGGAGCCCCUGAGCCCUCGGCAGGUCUGCCUGUCCUUCCCCGCUAUCUGAUUGGAUAAAGUGGGGGCUCGACGGUGGCCGACGUGGGACAGUCUGGCUGUGGCAGGGGUCUCGGAAACCAUGGGUUAUUGCAGUGGCAGGUGCACGCUUAUCUUUAUCUGUGGCAUGCAACUGGUUUGUGUGCUGGAGAGGCAAAUAUUUGAUUUCCUUGGAUAUCAGUGGGCACCUAUCCUGGCAAAUUUUGUACAUAUCAUCAUCGUCAUCCUUGGUUUAUUCGGAACUAUUCAAUAUAGACCUCGUUAUAUAACAGGAUAUGCUGUCUGGCAGGUCCUCUGGGUGACAUGGAAUGUGUUUGUUAUCUGCUUCUAUAUGGAGGCUGGGGAUCUCUCAAAGGAAACAGACCUUAUCCUGACUUUCAAUAUUUCAAUGCACCGAUCUUGGUGGAUGGAGAAUGGACCGGGAUGUAUGGUGACAUCGGUGACACCAGCCCCUGACUGGGCCCCAGAAGAUCAUCGAUACAUCACUGUCUCAGGGUGUUUUCUGGAGUACCAGUACAUAGAAGUGGCUCAUAGCUCCCUCCAGAUUGUCCUUGCACUGGCGGGGUUCAUCUACGCCUGUUAUGUUGUGAAAUGUAUAACUGAAGAAGAGGACAGCUUUGAUUUCAUAGGUGGCUUUGACUCUUACGGCUAUCAAGGGCCUCAGAAGACAUCUCACUUACAACUACAACCAAUGUACAUGCAAAUUCCCUUGGAUAACAACUGAUAGCAAAUUCUAUAUAUCAGCAUCAAGUGAUAUGCUGAAUUGCAAGCGAAGAUGAAAAUAGAAAGUCAAAAUAAUACAAAUGACUUCUGUAUGUCAGCCCAUGGACCUCUCAAAGAACUUCUGUCGCAGUGGCCUUCUGCAGUUUAUGAAGACCAAGAAGCAAAUUAAUUUAAAUAGAUACACAAGUUAUCAGAACAAACAAGAAACAUCUACACACAUACAUACGUGUACACACACACACACACACACACACACCACCACCACCAACAACAACAACAACAACAAUAGCAACACUGUCACAGCAAUUCCUCUGGAUAUUUCUAACUGAAACUGAUAAAUAUGCAGGACACCUCCAUCCUGGAUUCCUGAAAGCAGGCUCCCUUCUCCCAGGCCUUUGAAGUUAGGAAAGAAGACGUGUUGGUGCCCUCUGCUGGCCAUUACUUACUCCUCUGCAGCCCAAUCCAUUGGCCUCUGUGAGCUGCACAGUCGUCCCAGGCACAAUAACUGAGAGUCCUGUUUUCUGCACUCCAUACAUCUUGAUAGCACCACAGCUACUUAGGCAACGUAAUUGCAAAACCAAACAGGACAUGCCGUGAUGACCUUGUACCAAGUGCGAAAUGGCAGGUCGUUUGCCCUAAAGGGUGUACCAUACAAACUUGCCUUAACCCACCUGCGUUGUGUACUGGAGAACCUCAGUGCAGACGUCCCCAGUCACUUCCUUUAGGCUCACACACUGCUAUUAAUUCUGAAUGAUUUCAACUCUGUCUCACAUCAAGGAACAAGACUGAACAGCUCAGCAGCUCCAGUCUGUCUAUGUAAGAAAACCGCCAGCUGUCAGCAAAGUGCUUUACCACUGAGCCUCUGCAGUGGCCAAAAGAGACAAGUACCAACAACAACAAUAACUGUCAUCUUUAUAUCUCUUAAACGUGGUCUUCUGAUGGGUUGGGGUAGAACGAGGUAAAAUUUAGUAAUCUACUAAACUCAUUAAUCUACUGAAAGCAGAAAUGGCUUAACUCACUGAUUUUAUUUCCUGCACUCUAGGUGCUUUUAAAAGUAUCUACAAAUGUCUUUUACUGACACAGGAAACAGCUGUGGAUUUCUAUGACAGAGGCCAACUGACUAUGUAUUAGCUAUGUUUACUCUUUUAUAUCUAAUUCAAAUCCAAGACCCAAUGUAGGUGAACUUUGUUUUCUAACUUCGGCGUACGAGAUUAUUUUUGGGGUGGGUGGGGGGAGCAAUAGUUAACUUGGUGAAAUAUUUGAGAUCUCUUUGUGGUAUUUGGGGGAUCUGUUGUGUGUUAGAGUGUAUUUCAAUCCUCCUGUAUUAUUGUGGCAGAAAAAAACUGUGCUGUUAAUGUAGUUGGCAACGAGAUGCCUUUGGAAACUUAAUAGUAGGUCAAUGUGUUUAUGGAAUAUUCUGAACUCCUAGGAAAUUUUGUUCAAUAUUUUCAAGCACUAUUUGGUUUUCAUUAGUGGAGAACAUAAUUAGCUCAAGCUUAUCAGUAACUCAAAUGAGUCAUGUUUUUCUUGAAUCCACUUGAGACACCAAAAUCAAGUUUUCUUGAACACAUCAUUUUUAAGUACAGUGAAAUUCAGUCUAAGAAAGUUAUACAUUGGCAUGGAGCAACUUUUUUUUAAUCUACGAAGUCUCAGUUAUUGAAUCAACCUUUUUUUGGAUCUUAACCCAUUCAAAUCUACAUAAGGUGAUCCUGUUACUGUAUUUGCAUCGAUGUUUAUAAUCCACACACACACACAACCAUUUAAAAUUGAUGAAAGAACGAAAAGUGACCAUUGGAACAUUCACCACAUGCACAACAAGAUUUCAAGGCUCAGGCUUGAAUUUUCUCUGUGGCUUGUAUACCUUUGUCCAUGCCUACAUGUAUAAAAAG